rnacentral:rRNA from 1 species
GAUGAACGCUGGCGGCGUGCUUAACACAUGCAAGUCGAGCGGUAAGGCCCUUCGGGUACGACGAGCGGCGAACGGGUGAGUAACACGUGGGUGACCUGCCCUUAGCUCUGGGAUAAGCCUGGGAAACUGGGUCUAAUACCGGAUAUGACCUCAUGACGCAUGUUGUGGGGUGGAAAGCCUUGUGCGGCUAGGGAUGGGCCCGCGGCCUAUCAGCUUGUUGGUGGGGUGAUGGCCUACCAAGGCGACGACGGGUAGCCGGCCUGAGAGGGCGACCGGCCACACUGGGACUGAGACACGGCCCAGACUCCUACGGGAGGCAGCAGUGGGGAAUUUUGGACAAUGGGCGAAAGCCUGAUCCAGCAACUCUGCGUGAGGGAC